rnacentral:lncRNA from 1 species
AGGCCACAUCCCUGAUACAUCUCCCUCGAAAUCACCGUUCGGAGCUUGCAAAAAGCUCUAGUCACCGCUGCGCAAGGGUCAAGCAGGUGGCUGCUGCUUAUGGUGCACCUUCCUAAGCCAGUGACCAAAUCUUUACCCCCAACCUCCUCCUCACCCCCCAAGUCCAAUCCAGAGCCAGCCAACUUUGGAAGCACAAUGAGAUAUGAGGAGGGGGGGCAUGCAAUGGGCUCACUGCCCUGAGUCCCUGGCUGAACUAGGAAGCAGAGAAGAUGGGGAGGAGGCACCAGGGAUGUUCAGAAGAUGGGGAGCAUUUGGAGCGUGCCAAGCCCUUCCACUGCUCUGUGGUCCUGAUAGAAAAGACACGGGUGUUCAGGAGGGUGGAGAACACGUUCCCCUCAUCUCUCUCUGCACAGCCCACUUCAGAAAGUCCACCUUUACACCCAUCUCCUGUACAACGCCUGAGGAGAUCAUCCACUUGAAAGCACAAAACCUGGGACUCUCCUCUCCCACGCUGGCAGCCAACCUCAGACAAUCCUGGCAGGCGGUGAAUGCACCAGCAGUUACAUAAGGAACAUUUUCUAUCGCUCUGAAAUAAUAUAUUGGAACAGACUGGUCUGGGGCUGAUUAAAUGACUAAGCGAAUUCAAAGCAGUGGAUUGAUCACAAGACCCGUUCACUGCUCACAUACAUCGUGGUGAUGCCAUCUGAAUACAAGCCCAUCACACAGCACUAUUGUCUAUGGCCCACAGGCACACCCGGUGGUCCCAGCAUGGGAAAAAUAGCAAGUUGAUCAGGAAAAGUGGGAGGUUAAAGAUAGAGGUAUCUGUGAUUUCAUCAGAAGCAAGUCCAGAUAACUAUCUCUCUUACCAACAGCUACCCCUGGACCAAAACCAUGUAAAAAGCAGCAGGGUAACAUACCUGAACAUGCCCGAAACACGUCAAAAGAAAACAUCUUUCUUUUCUGCAUUUGUUAUAAUGCAGCGGUAGCUCCUGUUUUGGAUGCCUCGUGACACUGUGUGUUGUUUUCAUGAGGGGAAUUAGUCAAAUUAAUUUGAAUUUUAAUUAAUUUUGAGUAAUUUAAAUUAGUCAAAAGUUCACUGAUCAUUGAUUAUUAACACACUGAUUUUAGGGGUCACAGAGUUGUGACUGACAUUUCUGAGCAUGUAUUGCCUAGGAUUCUACAGCUGACUUAAUAAACCUUGUUACUAUGUUAACA